CUGAUAUUCUCUCUACAUAUUUCUUCCGUAUAUUUACUUUAUAGUUAUUAUUUUAUAACAAUAAUGAUGAAAUGAAACACAACAGAAAAAAUCAAUGAGCUCAAGUGCCUCUGCUACAAAAUACACUUAAAAUAAGGUAGCUUUGUUCAUUUAUCCAAGCAACAACUAAACUAAAGUCAACAACAAAUUCUCCAAAUCCCAAAUUAGGUGGAAACUUGUUCUUUUCCUCCCUCCUAAAUUUUCCAGAUGAUCACCAUGGCAACAGAGCAAAAAGUCAGAGUAAAAGUUGAAUCACCAACAUCUGAAUUUUUAGUUGGAGUGAAAGCAAGUGAUAAAGUUGAAGAUUUAAUCAAGAUUGUUAAACAAGCAUGGGGAAGUGAUUAUAUGUUGCUAAGGCACAAUUCUGUUGAAAUGAAAGUGGAUGACAACUUAUCUACAUAUGAUGUUAAAGAUGGUUCUAUUAUCAAAGUCAAUGUCUUUGCUGAAGCUCCUUGACAAUUAAUUUGUAAGUUUUAUGGAUAAUUGUUUGAGUUUUAGGGGUUUAAUUUGUGGGAUUUGAAUAAUAUAUAUUGUUGUAAGAUGGUUGAAAAAUCGUGAUUUGAAGUAUUGUGGGUUCAAUGGGUUAAAUUCAUUGCUUUUGGCUCGAUCUGUAGGUACGUAUGUAAGAAAAACUUAUUUUGUGUAAAUAUGUUUGUUGGAUUCAUUAUGAAUCCACUAUAAAUGCUCGAUUCAACUCUA